UAAGCAAGGAGGAGCACUACUGGAACAUCGCAAAAUCAGGAAACCUCCACUCAGGCAGACGUGGAAACCCACCUCUCACUGCCAAGCACUCCCAGGCUGAUCAUGCUUGUGAAGAAGACUUCAGUCUACAACUCUAUACUCCAUUUCUCCAGCUAUCUGUUGUGAUCAGGACGUUCUCUAGUUUUGUGGAAAAUACAUUCCCAGUUGUAACUGUUCAUAAGCUGUGUGUGU